AGAGAGGAACCUGGAGGGACCCUGUCCCUGACACCUUCUGGGUUGUUAGCUCCAGAUCAAAAGAACUCCUGAUUUGGAAAAAGCUUCUUGAAAAGAAGAGGGGAGGUGCAGUUUAUCAUUCUGAAUCCAAAGCCAAGGAAUAUAAACAUGUAUGCAAACGAGCUUGUCAGAGAGUAUCAACGCAAUGUGUAUCAUCUAUGCUUUUCAGUUUUGAACAUAAAGCAGUGGCUCUGAGCGCGACUCGGAGGGCGACGCCGCGGCCGCAGCCAUGGGUGCUGGGCCUGCAGGGGCGCGGGGGGGAGGGCGACGCUAGGACCUGCGGGGCCGGGCGGGAGAGAGGGCUGCCGGGACCGGCCCUAGACACUGAGCCGCGGUGGGAUCCCCGCCGGCUCUGCGAGGCCCUGCGAGCGCCAGGGAGGCGCCUCGAGGGAGCCGGGCAGCCGCCGGCCACUUCAGGGGGGCCCGCCACUUCAGGGCGGUCGAAAGAGCCUUGGGGGCACAUCUCGGGGUGCGGUGACCCGCCCGGCGCAUUUCGGGGGUCGGGGCGCAUUUGCCAGGGGACAUCUGGAGCCCGGCCCUGCUUCUGUCGGGCUCCAGGGUACCCCUGGAUGGCUGCGCUGUGCCCUCGCCGGCCGCCCGGGCGCCACAGCGGCUGAGUUCGCCGGGAUCGCCGGGCCGCCGCCGCCCUUGCCACCGGCUGCAUGCUCGGCGCCCGGGUCGCGGCCCACCUGGACGCACUGGGCCCCCUGGUCCCCUACGUGCCGCCGCCGCUGCUGCCCUCUAUGUUCUACGUGGGCCUGUUCUUCGUCAAUGUGCUGAUCCUGUACUACGCCUUCCUCAUGGAGUACAUCGUCCUCAACGUGGGCCUCGUCUUCCUGUUCGAGGACAUGGACCA
ensembl:lncRNA novel transcript